rnacentral:lncRNA from 1 species
AAAAACAACAUUUAAUCAUGAACCAUUGAAUCCUGAGUUUCGUACAAGUACCAAAACAUUAAAGAUGGAUGCUUAUAAUGAGCUCAUAUUAGAACUAAAGUGUCCUCUUGAAUUACCACUGUACAUGUAGCAAGACAAAUCAUAUGCGGGACUGAAUUGAGGAAAAGAGCCAGGAAACUUACAUUCUACGAAACAUUUAAAAGACAAGAUGGCAAAGGGGGAGAGCAAUGAAACAUGAUACUUGCAAAAUUAAUUGUUUCUUUAAUUGUUUUAUCUAUGAACUUUAAAGGGG